GCUCUGACUGGUGACCUUUUCGGGAACACGAGGAACAAAUAGGAAAGGAACGUAUAGGAAUAAAAUUGCAGGAAUUGGAAGGAAUGCUUGUUCCUUGUCAAAUUAGAAGAAACUGAAUGGAGCAUGUGAAUAAACAAGGGAGAAAAGUUGGUACAGUCGAUGAACUAAUCCAGGUGAUCACUCCCAAAGGCAGAGGUAAACAUAGAUAAACAAAAACUUUUAAGAUGAAAUCGGAAAUGAGAAACCUGUUUUCCAAAUACUUUGAAAUAUCUUAAUUCUGUUUUUCAGUUUGAGGUAUUGGACUUGGGUUAUUAUAAAAUGAAAAGUGGGAAAGAAGAGAGUAUGCAUACAUAUCCUUUGAGAUCUCUUGCUUCAUCUCUGGAAAGGGGUCAGUGCGUAUGAGUUAACCAAGAGUUCAAUUCAGCGAUAUUUUUACAGAUUUGUAUUGAGUUUUCUCAUUGAUGAUUUCUGAGUUGUCUAUAUAACUUCGUCAUUGCUCUCUCAUGUUUAAGAUGAUUCACCAUGUUCCAGUUGGUUCAAAACUUUUAUGUAUGUAAUGUCUGUUGCAGGUGAAAUCUCCUUGCUCUUUCACUCAAAGAGAGAUGGGAUAUCUCACGGACACCAUCCAGAAUGGUGGAACUGAAGUAAUGAGUAUUGAUCUGAUGUUUCAUUUGAUGAAGGACACGUAAUGAGUUUAUAUAAUCAUUGUUCUUCACUCCAUAUAAAUUUAACUGCAUAUUAACUGAUGCUGCAGUAACAAAGGAGAAUUUACGAACCGUAACAAACCAAUCACUCAACUGCAUAAGAAGCGAUGCUGCAGUAAUGCUACGGUUACGACUGUUGGAAACGCCCUUAGAUAUGAUCAUAUGAUAGAUCCAGCACAGUGACAUGACUGACAGUAGAAACCAAAAUCAGAGUUACGCUAAAGCAAAAGGAACAAGGAAGCAUAAAGUAAAAACAAAGUUGUGAUUGCCCUCAUUUCCUUGCCUCUUCUGUGAAAACUUAGAAAUACUUUUGCUUUGUGUUUGGUAGUGUCUGUAAAUCCACAUCUAUAUGUAAUUAUAGGAGGAA